rnacentral:lncRNA from 10 species
AUCCCAGCCCCGCCCCUGCCGCACGGUGGACGUGGCAGGCGGCACUUCCGGCUGGGCUACCGCGGCUGCAGAGGGACAUCUUUCAAGAACAGGCGCCGGCCUCGGCGUCCGCCGCGCAGUUAGGAAACUGACUGUCGCUCUCUCCGGCCUCGGCGCUGCUUCGGACGCCCCGGCACCGGCCCCCGUUGCUUUGUAGCAUUCUGCAGCUGGGCUGCAGGCGCCGUGGGCCUCCGCCAGUUGUGUUCGAGACGCGGUUCGGCCACAGAAGUUUUAGCUUGUGACUUUUGGCAAGUCAGUGGCCCUCUCUGGGCCUCAGGUGCCUUUUUUGCUGUGAGACCAGCGACUGUAUUUUUAACCCUGAUUUUAUCCCUAGAUCUACCCAACACAUAGUAGGUGCUCAAAAGAUAUUUAUGAGUGAAUGAAUGCAUCAUGAGAAGAAAUUGGACCAGAUGAGGCCCUGUGAAGCUGCUUGGGUCUUUUUUUGUUCUUUUUUUUUUCUCUCUUCUGAGUGUCCCUGGCCUGGACUAGAAAUUCUCCAUCCUUCGGCCUUCUGCGAGACUGCAGGAACAUUACUUUUGAAGGAUGCUAAGGAAUCCGAGGGAUGAAAAAAAUCAAGAGAUUGCAAUGAUGUCACAAAACAAGGAAACAAGGCAGGAAGUUCUUGUGUGUUUUUUUGCGGGAGAGAGUCCAUGAAAUUGGGGGGAGUCCAAAGAGGGAGUGUUUCUGUCCUUGGAACUCACCUUUUCUUCUUUCCAUUUCUCCUCUUCUCCUUCCCAUCUAGUGCAGCAUCUUCACUCCGAAGCAGAAAUUUGCCAAAAAAGCAUCCUCUUUUUAUCAGAAAAUAAAAUAUCCUGGUUUCUUAGCCUGGCAUUCUUGGAUCCCCACAGUUUGAUCCCAACCGACAACUCCUUAUUUGAAACUUCAGAUUCUCCCAAACCGUCACCUUCCUCGUGGACUUAAUCCUGGAAGGCCCUUCUACCCCACUUCGCCUUAUCUCACACAAACACAGUCUCUCUCUGACUGAGAUAAACUUGAACACUUCUUUUCUUUUCUUUUUUUUUUUCUUUAAAUUUCGGGUUUCAAAAUACAAAUGGCCUAAUCACAACAUUUCUGUAAUGUUGUCUAAAUUCAGGUACUGGUUUGAAUAGAGGACAAAAAUAAAACAAGGUUUGAAGACUAAGUACUUUAAAAACAUAUUUAUUUAAAUAGAGGCAGGGCCUCCC